GCUGGGUGUGGUGGUGUGCGCCUGUAGUCCCAGCUACUUGGGAGGCUGAGGCUGCGGGGAUUGCUUGAGUCCAGGAAUUCUGGGCUGUAGUGUGCUAUGCCGAUCAGGUGUCUGAACUAAGUUCGUCAUCAAUAUGGUGACCUCCCAGGAGCAGGGAACCAUCAGGUUGCCUAGGGAGGGGUGAACCAGGCCAGGUUGGAAAUGGUGCAAGUCAACUCCCAGGCUGAUCAAUAGUGGGAAUGCGCCCGUGAAUAGCCGCUGCACUUUAGCCUGGGCAACAUAGCGAGACCCUGUCUCU
rnacentral:SRP_RNA from 1 species